rnacentral:rRNA from 1 species
GCUGGCGGCGCGCUUAACACAUGCAAGUCGAACGAGAAAGUGGAGCAAUCCAUGAGUAAAGUGGCGUACGGGUGAGUAACACGUGGAUCAUCUGCCCUAGAGUGGGGAAUAACGAUGGGAAACCGUCGCUAAUACCGCAUAAUCCCGAGAGGGGAAAGCCGAAAGGCGCUCAAGGAGGAGUCCGCGGCCGAUUAGCUUGUUGGUAGGGUAAUGGCCUACCAAGGCUGCGAUCGGUAGCCGGCCUGAGAGGGCACACGGCCACACUGGCACUGAAACACGGGCCAGACUCCUACGGGAGGCAGCAGUGGGGAAUCUUGCACAAUGGGGGAAACCCUGAUGCAGCGACGCCGCGUGAGCGAUGAAGCCCUUCGGGGUGUAAAGCUCUUUCGUCAGGGAAGAUUAUGACGGUACCUGGAGAAGCAGCUGCGGCUAACUACGUGCCAGCAGCCCCGGUAAUACGUANGCAGCAAGCGUUGUUCGGAGUUACUGGGCGUAAAGGGUGUGUAAGCGGCCUUCUAAGUUUUGGUGUGAAAUCUCCCGGCUCAACCGGGAGGGUGCGCC